UACAGAGGGGGCAAGCGUUGUUCGGAAUUACUGGGCGUAAAGGGCGCGUAGGCGGCUUGUUAAGUCGAACGUGAAAUCCCCGGGCUCAACCCGGGAACUGCGUCCGAAACUGGCAGGCUAGAAUUCGGGAGAGGGAUGUGGAAUUCCAGGUGUAGCGGUGAAAUGCGUAGAUAUCUGGAGGAACAUCGGUGGCGAAGGCGACAUCCUGGACCGAUAUUGACGCUGAGGCGCGAAAGCCAGGGGAGCAAACGGG
rnacentral:rRNA from 1 species